rnacentral:rRNA from 1 species
ACGUUAAUCGGGGCAGGGUGAGUCGACCCCUAAGGCGAGGCCGAAAGGCGUAGUCGAUGGGAAACAGGUUAAUAUUCCUGUACUUGGUGUUACUGCGAAGGGGGGACGGAGAAGGCUAUGUUGGCCGGGCGACGGUUGUCCCGGUUUAAGCGUGUAGGCUGGUUUUCCAGGCAAAUCCGGAAAAUCAAGGCUGAGGCGUGAUGACGAGGCACUACGGUGCUGAAGCAACAAAUGCCCUGCUUCCAGGAAAAGCCUCUAAGCAUCAGGUAACAUCAAAUCGUACCCCAAACCGACACAGGUGGUCAGGUAGAGAAUACCAAGGCGCUUGAGAGAACUCGGGUGAAGGAACUAGGCAAAAUGGUGCCGUAACUUCGGGAGAAGGCACGCUGAUAUGUAGGUGAAGCGACUUGCUCGUGGAGCUGAAAUCAGUCGAAGAUACCAGCUGGCUGCAACUGUUUAUUAAAAACACAGCACUGUGCAAACACGAAAGUGGACGUAUACGGUGUGACGCCUGCCCGGUGCCGGAAGGUUAAUUGAUGGGGUCAGCGCAAGCGAAGCUCUUGAUCGAAGCCCCGGUAAACGGCGGCCGUAACUAUAACGGUCCUAAGGUAGCGAAAUUCCUUGUCGGGUAAGUUCCGACCUGCACGAAUGGCGUAAUGAUGGCCAGGCUGUCUCCACCCGAGACUCAGUGAAAUUGAACUCGCUGUGAAGAUGCAGUGUACCCGCGGCAAGACGGAAAGACCCCGUGAACCUUUACUAUAGCUUGACACUGAACAUUGAGCCUUGAUGUGUAGGAUAGGUGGGAGGCUUUGAAGUGUGGACGCCAGUCUGCAUGGAGCCGACCUUGAAAUACCACCCUUUAAUGUUUGAUGUUCUAACGUUGACCCGUAAUCCGGGUUGCGGACAGUGUCUGGUGGGUAGUUUGACUGGGGCGGUCUCCUCCUAAAGAGUAACGGAGGAGCACGAAGGUUGGCUAAUCCUGGUCGGACAUCAGGAGGUUAGUGCAAUGGCAUAAGCCAGCUUGACUGCGAGCGUGACGGCGCGAGCAGGUGCGAAAGCAGGUCAUAGUGAUCCGGUGGUUCUGAAUGGAAGGGCCAUCGCUCAACGGAUAAAAGGUACUCCGGGGAUAACAGGCUGAUACCGCCCAAGAGUUCAUAUCGACGGCGGUGUUUGGCACCUCGAUGUCGGCUCA